CCUACGGGAGGCAGCAGUGAGGAAUAUUGGUCAAUGGCCGGAAGGCUGAACCAGCCAAGCCGCGUGAAGGACGAAGGUGCCAAGCAUUGUAAACUUCUUUUGUCAAGGGACAAAAUCAGGCUCGAGAGCCUGACCGAGGGUACUUGAAGAAAAAGCAUCGGCUAACUCCGUGCCAGCAGCCGCGGUAAUACGGAGGAUGCGAGCGUUAUCCGGAUUUAUUGGGUUUAAAGGGUGCGUAGGCGGACUGUUAAGUCAGCGGUAAAAGCCCGGGGCUCAACCCCGGCGAGCCGUUGAAACUGGCUGUCGUGAGAUGCCGAGAGGUAUGCGGAAUGCGCAGUGUAGCGGUGAAAUGCGUAGAUAUUGCGCAGAACUCCGAUUGCGAAGGCAGCAUACCGGCGGCGAUCUGACGCUGAGGCACGAAAGCGUGGGUAUCGAACAGGAUUAGAUACCCCUGUAGUC
rnacentral:rRNA from 1 species